rnacentral:rRNA from 1 species
GGGGAAUCGUUGCGCAAUGGGCGAAAGCCUGACGCAGCCAUGCCGCGUGAAUGAUGAAGGUCUUAGGAUUGUAAAAUUCUUUCACCGGGGACGAUAAUGACGGUACCCCGGAGAAGAAGACCCCCGGCUAACUUCGUGCCAGCAGCCGCGGUAAUACGAAGGGGGCUAGCGUUGCUCGGAAUUACUGGGCGUAAAGGGAGCGUAGGCGGACUGUUUAGUCAGAGGUGAAAGACCCAGGGGCUCAACCUUGGAAUUGCCUUUUGAUACUGGCAGCCUUGAGUACGGAAGAGGUAUGUGGAACUCCGAGUGUAGAGGUGAAAUUCGUAGAUAUUCGGAAGAACACCAGUGGCGAAGGCGACAUACUGGUCCGUUACUGACGCUGAGGCUCGAAAGCGUGGGGAGCAAACAGGAUUAGAUACCCCUGGUAG